rnacentral:rRNA from 1 species
UACGUAGGGUGCAAGCGUUAAUCGGAAUUACUGGGCGUAAAGCGUGCGCAGGCGGUUGUUCAAGUCCUGUGUGAAAUCCCCGGGCUUAACCUGGGAACUGCAUUUGUGACUGCACGGCUAGAGUGUGUCAGAGGGGGGUAGAAUUCCACGUGUAGCAGUGAAAUGCGUAGAUAUGUGGAGGAAUACCGAUGGCGAAGGCAGCCCCCUGGGAUAACACUGACGCUCAUGCACGAAAGCGUGGGGAGCAAACAGG